CCUCAGAAGAGUUUGGAGACAUCUUUUUUUAAACUACAACUCCCAGAAUCACACAGGUGGCACAUUAGAUCCUGAAGUAUUCCAGAAAAUUGCCUACUGGAAUGGCCCAAUGAAGCUUGAAUGGUACCUGGCAAGAUUUCUCAUCUACAAGAAAUGAUGAUGGAAGAGCAUGUGCUCCUAAGACAUAAUUUAUAAGGGGCUCUUAGAAGCAAUUGCCGUAGCUUUGUGCAGUG
rnacentral:lncRNA from 11 species